rnacentral:lncRNA from 1 species
GCACCCUUGGGCAACAGCGUCUGGGACCUCAGGCCCACGGAGCUGAAAGGAUGCACGUGUGUGGGCCCCUGCCUCCGUGGCACGGAGCAGACUUGGGGAAUCUUGCUUCUGCCGCAAAGCCAGGAGGCGCUCAGAGGUGCCAAGAGCAGCAUCCAAGGCCAACGGGCCUCCCACACGGGCCCAGGAUGUGUCGGGCAGCAAGACGACGGUGACUGUCGUCUGUUCAAACAGGCAAGAUUCUGAUGGCCCAAGAAGUCUCAUUAACACUCAAACAAGAAAAGUUAACACGAAGUAGACCAGCGAAGUAUUGCAGGGAAUAAGCAGGCCAAGUGUGGUCUGAGUGUGAGUCCCCGCACGGAUCCACAGGGUGAAACCCAACCCCCCAGGUGGUGGUAGUGGGUGGGGCCUUCAGGAGGUGCGUGGGUCCUGGGGUGAAUGGGAUUCGGGCACUGUGGGUGUGAGCCCCUCUGUGGGGUGGCCUCUCAGCAUGGGGGUCCCAGGGAAGUCAGGCUUCUUACAGGGGGCCUCCAGGGGCUCAUCCAGCAAACCUGCCGCAGUCUUCUCUGCCCGGCCCUGCUAUCAGCAAAGGGACAUGGGCUCCGCCUCGUGAGGGAGGAGAGUCAAAAUGUUUUCAUCCUUUACAAAAUAAAGGAUGUUUCUCCUUGUUUCUCUUUGUGUAGCAAGAAAGAGUGAGCACAGUCCCCCCAAUCCCCGGGCCUCGGGGGAAGGAGCCCGGGCAGGACCUGAGCCUCCUGCCAUGGCCAGUGCAAGCAUCCAGCCACGUGAUCCGCCCCCCCCAUGCUCGGGGCACCCCUCACUGCACCCUGUGGGGUGUAACGAAACGCUGGUGAAGAAGCUUACUCAUCCCCACACCCCAGGCCAAAUCUCCAAAUGGAUGGACAGAGACCCGGACCUCCAUGCACGUGAAACCCAAAGAAUCCCUCAUCUCAGGGAACAUGAAAGAUGGGGCAUCAUCGAGAGUUUCCUCAACCUGUGCAGACGUUUCGUUCUGGAGCAGGCCAGGGCGGGCCAGCCUCACUCAGGCGGCACUGGGCCCCCCUGCGGCACCCAGCCCAGAGCCGAGCUGCCCGCUGCCCGCGUCAGUAGUCCGAGCCCUCGGGAUGCUGAGAACACGCCUAAGGAAGAAGCGGCAGCCCAAGGGGAAGCUGGAGUUCAGCACCUUCAGUGCCCGCCCUGA